rnacentral:lncRNA from 1 species
AAUUGGCAUUUUCAACAAUGAUGACAGCUGGGAGCUCUCUGAACUGGACACAAAGAUGAAAGCCUGACUUUGCAAUCAAGGUUUCCUUUUAUAGGCUGAACUCAGGGGACUGACUCCAUUUUCCAAGAGCGCAAGCUGAGGAGACAUAAGAUGUCUGAUCCUUGAAGAGGCUGAUCAUGUUCUUUUGACCUGAUUGGAGACCGGCUUAGAAUUUUGCGCCAAGAUUCGGACGAGCAGGAUUUUCCAGGAGCUGAGACGCGAUUCCAUUCAGAGGUUCAGAACAGGAUGUCGAAAGGCUCGCUAUUGUCAUGCACAUGUUGUCUGUGCUUGAUUUGAAUCAGUUUUUUAAAAACUGGGGCAUCGAAACAGCUUCUAGCCAGAAGCUUAAGGCAAUAAGAGACAG